rnacentral:rRNA from 1 species
CGAAUGCUGACGUGAGUAACGACAAAACGGGUGAAAAACCCGUUCGCCGAAAGACCAAGGGUUCCAGUCCAACGUUAAUCGGGGCUGGGUGAGUCGACCCCUAAGGCGAGGCCGAAAGGCGUAGUCGAUGGGAAAAUGGUUAAUAUUCCAUUACUUCUGUGUAAUGCGAUGAGAGGACGGAGAAGGCUAAAUCAGCCUGGCGUUGGUUGUCCAGGUGAAAGGAUGUAGGCAUGUAUCUUAGGCAAAUCCGGGGUACUCUAUGCUGAGAUCUGAUAGCAAGCUGUACUUGUACAGCGAAGUGGUUGAUGCCAUGCUUCCAGGAAAAGUCUCUAAGCUUCAGUUACACAGGAAUCGUACCCGAAACCGACACAGGUGGUCAGGUCGAGUAGACCAAGGCGCUUGAGAGAACUCUGCUGAAGGAACUAGGCAAAAUGGUACCGUAACUUCGGGAGAAGGUACGCUGUUGUUGGUGAUGGAACUCGCUUCCUGAGCUGACGACAGCCGCAGAAACCAGGCCGCUGCAACUGUUUAUUAAAAACAUAGCACUCUGCAAACACGAAAGUGGACGUAUAGGGUGUGAUGCCUGCCCGGUGCU